GGCCGUGUGGCAAAAUGGUUACUGCGUUGCUUUCCGGCUCCCUUCGCUAGGCAAAGACUCUGGGUUCGAGUCCCAGCAUGGUCG